rnacentral:ribozyme from 1 species
GGAAGUGGGAAAAAGAAAAGAAAAAGGGAAAAGAAAACUCCGACCAAGGUUGCUGAAAUUUCUUUGAAUGACUCCACCGAAACCGGCAUCCGGCGCAGAAAGGGUAGCAAAGCAGAGGAAACAGGGAGCGCAGUAGGUGCAGC